rnacentral:rRNA from 1 species
UGAGGAAUAUUGGUCAAUGGGCGAGAGCCUGAACCAGCCAAGUAGCGUGCAGGAAGACGGCCCUAUGGGUUGUAAACUGCUUUUAUGUGGGGAUAAAGUGCGUGACGUGUCAUGCAUUGCAGGUACCACAUGAAUAAGGACCGGCUAAUUCCGUGCCAGCAGCCGCGGUAAUACGGAAGGUCCGGGCGUUAUCCGGAUUUAUUGGGUUUAAAGGGAGCGUAGGCUGUCUAUUAAGCGUGUUGUGAAAUAUACCGGCUCAACCGGUGGCUUGCAGCGCGAACUGGUCGACUUGAGUAUGCAGGAAGUAGGCGGAAUUCAUGGUGUAGCGGUGAAAUGCUUAGAUAUCACACAGAACUCCGAUUGCGCAGGCAGCGUACUACAUUACAACUGACACUGAAGCACGAAAGCGUGGGUAUCAAACAGG